rnacentral:rRNA from 1 species
UAGUUUGAUCAUGGCUCAGGACGAACGCUGGCGGCAUGCCUAACACAUGCAAGUCGAACGGAGUUGUUAUACAGAAGUUCUUCUGGAUGGAAGGAUAAGAACUUAGUGGCGGACGGGUGAGUAACGCGUGGGUAACCUGCCCUUUUGUGGGGAACAACUUCGAGAAAUCGGAGCUAAUACCGCAUAAUAAUAGAGAAUCGCAUGAUUCUUUAAGGAAAGAUGGCCUCUGAAGAUGCUAUCGCAAAAGGAUGGACCCGCGUCUGAUUAGCUAGUUGGAAGGGUAACGGCCUACCAAGGCAACGAUCAGUAGCCGGCCUGAGAGGGUGAACGGCCACAUUGGGACUGAGACACGGCCCAAACUCCUACGGGAGGCAGCAGUGGGGAAUCUUCCGCAAUGGGCGAAAGCCUGACGGAGCAAUGCCGCGUGAGUGAAGAAGGCCUUCGGGUUGUAAAACUCUGUCCUUAUCGAAGAGAGGUGGGUAUGUGAAUAAUGUACUCAUAGGACGGUAGAUAAGGAGGGAGCCCCGGCUAACUACGUGCCAGCAGCCGCGGUAAUACGUAGGGGGCGAGCGUUGUCCGGAAUCACUGGGCGUAAAGGGCGCGUAGGCGGUUUAAUAAGUCAGAGGUGAAAACUGAGGGCUCAACCCUCAGCCUGCCACUGAUACUGUUAGACUUGAGUAUGGAAGAGGAGAAUGGAAUUCCUAGUGUAGCGGUGAAAUGCGUAGAUAUUAGGAGGAACACCAGUGGCGAAGGCGAUUCUCUGGGCCAAGACUGACGCUGAGGCGCGAAAGCGUGGGGAGCAAACAGGAUUAGAUACCCUGGUAGUCCACGCCGUAAACGAUGGAUACUAGGUGUUAGUAGUUUCGAUGCUACUAGUGCCGGAGUAAACACAAUAAGUAUCCCGCCUGGGGAGUACGGUCGCAAGACUGAAACUCAAAGGAAUAGACGGGGGCCCGCACAAGCGGUGGAGCAUGUGGUUUAAUUCGACGCAACGCGAAGAACCUUACCAAGACUUGACAUCCUCCUGACGAGAUAUGUAAUGUAUCUUUUUUCUUCGGAGACAGGAGAGACAGGUGGUGCAUGGUUGUCGUCAGCUCGUGUCGUGAGAUGUUGGGUUAAGUCCCGCAACGAGCGCAACCCUUAUUUCUAGUUGCCAGCAGUAAGAUGGGGACUCUAGAGAGACUGCCAGUGACAAACUGGAGGAAGGUGGGGAUGACGUCAAAUCAUCAUGCCCCUUAUGUCUUGGGCUACACACGUGCUACAAUGGUCAGAACAGAGGGCAGCGAAGCCGCGAGGUGGAGCAAAUCCCAGAAAACUGAUCUCAGUUCGGAUUGCAGGCUGCAACCCGCCUGCAUGAAGUCGGAAUCGCUAGUAAUCGCGGGUCAGCAUACCGCGGUGAAUACGUUCCCGGGCCUUGUACACACCGCCCGUCACACCACGAAAGUUGGUAACACCCGAAGCCGGUGGCCUAACCCUUAGGGGAGGGAGCUGUCGAAGGUGGGACUGAUGAUUGGGGUGAAGUCGUAACAAGGUACCC